AGAGUUUGAUCCUGGCUCAGGACGAACGCUGACGGUGUGCUUUAGGCAUGCAAGUCGAACGAGAAAGCCCUUCGGGGUGAGUAAAGUGGCGAACGGGUGAGUAACACGUGGGCAACCUGCCCCUCGCAGGGGGACAACCGGGGGAAACCCCGGCUAAUACCUCGUACGCUUGCCGGGCCGCAUGGCUCGGCAAGGAAAGGUAGCUUCGGCCAUCCGGCGAGGGAUGGGCCCGCGGUCCAUUAGCUAGUUGGUGAGGUAACGGCCCACCAAGGCGACGAUGGAUAGCUGGUCUGAGAGGACGAUCAGCCACACUGGGACUGAGACACGGCCCAGACUCCUACGGGAGGCAGCAGCCAGGAAUCUUGGGCAAUGGGCGAAAGCCUGACCCAGCAACACCGUGUGGGUGAUGAAGGCCUUCGGGUCGUAAAGCCCUGUUGAUAGGGACGAAGGGCGAAGGGUUAAUAGCCCGGAGCUUGACGGUACCUUUCGAGGAAGCCCCGGCUAACUACGUGCCAGCAGCCGCGGUAAUACGUAGGGGGCGAGCGUUGUCCGGAAUUAUUGGGCGUAAAGAGCGUGUAGGCGGUUCGGUAAGUCUGUCGUGAAAUCCUGGGGCUCAACCCUGGGCGUGCGAUGGAUACUGCCGGGCUAGAGGGUGGUAGAGGCGAGUGGAAUUCCCGGUGUAGCGGUGAAAUGCGCAGAUAUCGGGAGGAACACCAGUAGCGAAGGCGGCUCGCUGGGCCACACCUGACGCUGAGACGCGAAAGCUAGGGGAGCGAACAGGAUUAGAUACCCCAGUAGUCC
rnacentral:rRNA from 1 species